AACGAACGCUGGCGGCAUGCCUAACACAUGCAAGUCGAACGAUCCCUUCGGGGAUAGUGGCGCACGGGUGCGUAACGCGUGGGAACCUGCCCUUAGGUUCGGAAUAACUCAGAGAAAUUUGAGCUAAUACCGGAUAAUGUCUUCGGACCAAAGAUUUAUCGCCUUUGGAUGGGCCCGCGUUGGAUUAGCUAGUUGGUGGGGUAAAGGCCUACCAAGGCGACGAUCCAUAGCUGGUCUGAGAGGAUGAUCAGCCACACUGGGACUGAGACACGGCCCAGACUCCUACGGGAGGCAGCAGUGGGGAAUAUUGGACAAUGGGCGAAAGCCUGAUACAGCAAUGCCGCGUGAGUGAUGAAGGCCUUAGGGUUGUAAAGCUCUUUUACCCGGGAUGAUAAUGACAGUACCGGGAGAAUAAGCCCCGGCUAACUCCGUG
rnacentral:rRNA from 1 species